rnacentral:lncRNA from 1 species
ACUUUUGCCUCUUUUAUCAUUUUCAUAAUCUCAACAAAAGAAAAAAGAAAGCUUCCAAUCUCAUUUUAUCUCCAUUACUUUCUACACCAAAAUUGGGUCCCACAACCCGGUUCUUUGUCUAGAGGAUAGCAGUUGAGUACUAGUGGUGGUCUCGGGUAGAAUUGGUAAGAAGACAUCAAACCUUUUGAAAGCUUCAAAGGUAAUACUUCUUAAAACCCUAAUUUGAUUAGUUUAUGGUUACAUGUUAAUUGUGGCAAUUAGGGUAGAAAUUCGAUUCUUUUUCCGCUGUGCAUGACUUAGUUCUAUCAUGUGGUAUCAGAGCAUGCUUCAUUUUUACCCAAUUGCAUGUGGUGGGUUCAAAUUUAUUAGAUAAAUUUUGGUUUGAACUAAAAUGGAUAUAUUAUGAUUUUGGCUCUAGAUUAAGUGUUUUUGUUCUAAUUAUUGUAAUUAGCCUUGUUAAUGGCUUAUUUUUAUUGUUGCAAAGUGUUUGUAAUUUUUAAAAAAAUAAAAAAAGUCAUUAGAGUUGAAGCUAGGCUGUAAUUAGUUCAACCGGGUGAGAGAAUUGAAAAAAAAAAAAAAAGAAGGUCACAGACCCGAAAACCCGGUUUUGACCCCGCUUCGCGACCCGCACGCAGCGCCGCAUGCCCGCGCGCCCUCCUGCGCCGCGCGCCCUCCUGCGUCCGCACGCGCCCGCGCGCCCUCCUGCGGCCGCGCGCCCGCGCCGCCGCCGGCGCCUCCUGCGCCCGCGCGCGCCGCAUGCGCCCGCGCGCCCGCAUGCGCCAGCGCCCCUGCCGCGCCCGCAUGCGCCCGCGCGCGCCAUGCGCCCGCGCGCGCCGCCGCCGCCGCGCGCUGCCUUCGCACGACCCGUGUGCGCCUGGGCCGGUUCAAGCCAAUAAAUUUUGGUUUUUUGGGCCGGUUCAAGCGGUUCGGUUGGUUUUUUAGCCGGUUCGAAAUUUUUGGGAGUGGUUCUGUACUACACCAAAUUAAUUAUGUAAUAAUUUAGCACUUAGCUUAAUUUAGGAGCCAAAAAUCAGUCCAUUUUAGGGUGUUUUUUUUAUUUAUGCAUGUGAUGUAUGAUUAAAUUACUUUAAAUUUGUAUGUGCAUUUUGAAUGUCAUAUAGAUUUAAAAUCCCACCAUAGGUUAACAUGUUCAUGCAUUAAAAUGUAUGAUAUAAAGGUUAUAUUGUAUUGUAUGCAUGUUAAUUGAUUAAUAUGGAAAUUAAUUAAUAUGAUUAAUUAAUUAUUUAAUUAAUUAAGUUAUUCUUGAUUAAAUAUGAUUUAAUCAAAUUAAUUAAUUAUUGUUUGAUUUAAUUUAAUUAAAUAUGAUUUAAUUAAAGUUAAAUAAAUUAAAAUCCAUAUUAAUUGAUUGUUUUUAUUAUAUAUUGAUAAAAUGAUUGAUUAAGUUUAAAAUUUUUAUAAGUGUUAUAAAAUAAAUUAGACUUUUAAAAUCAAUAACAAAGAUUAAAUGCAUGCUCACUUAGGUUAAACAUAUCUUCCAUUUUUCAUAGAAAUAGGUCGAUAUCUUGUAAAACUGGUUACAAAAGGCUCACCUGGUUCAAUCUUGUCAACAAGUCAGAUAAGAUGACUAAGGUUGGAGGUUCUUAAGUUGACGGUUUACGGAACACCUCCUACCUGGAGAUCGUAAUCAGUUCUUGAGCCUAGUUAACCUAGUUUUAUGAGCAUUCGUGAGAGGUGUGAGGUAAUAAAAAUGGUUUUUCACCUAGACAUCAUAGGUUAAAAUCCUGUAUAAUGGUUAUACUUGGAUGUUUUAUCUAGACUUAAGAUUUGUUUAAGUUAGCCUAAAUAUAAAUCUUGAAGUUUGGAUUACCCUAAUUUUUUCUCUAGAACACUUCAACUAGAGAAAAAUAAUGUAUUUUAGCUCUAGUGUCCCUAAGAGUUCACACCGUGAGGUCCAUGCAGGGCUUUGUGCCGUGCAUAGGAGCGGCCUCCCUUCGGAGAGUGUUUGCAUGGAUCAAAAUCAAGGUGAAUAGGGGAAGUAGUUCAUAGUAAGUGGGUGAGGGAUUUGUGACAGCACAUCCCACGGUCUCUUCCAUUAGGUCGCACCGUGAGAUUUCUAUAAUAUGCCUGCUUGUCUGCCCUGGAGCGACGUUCCCUUCGGAGGGUUGUAUUAUAGGAUUCGGAACACCGCGAACUCCAAAACUGGAUAGGAUUUCUUAGAUUAGUUUUCAUAAAUGAUUCUAAUCUAUAAAAUCUGAAAAUGGUGGGUAACACUUACAAGAAUUACUAAGUUGUUAGUAUAUUCUUGACUAAAAGUAGCGAUAACUAAGUGCUAUAAAGAAUAAAGAGUUAUUCUUGAGAUAGCAUCUAGUCAAGAUUGUCUUGGUUCAAAGGAGGAAUAAUCAACUACCCUUCGGAGAAGGUUGUUCUAAACCUUUGAAAUAUUGUUGCAAAAUACAAAUAAUGAAAGGGUACAUUAUUAGUAAUUGCUAAAUUAGAUUGGAUAUUUUUUUAUGAUUAUAGUUUUUUCUUAAAAAGAAUAUGUUUGUUUUUCAGCAUGAAUAGCUCAAUAGUUCAACUUUUAGCUUCCGAAAAACUUAAUGGCGAUAAUUAUGCGGCUUGGAAAUCAAAUCUUAACACAAUACUAGUGGUUGACGAUUUAAGAUUUGUCUUAACUGAGGAAUGUCCUCAAAACCCUGCCUCUAAUGCUAACCGAACUAGUCGGGAUGCAUAUGAUCGAUGGAUAAAAAGCUAAUGAAAAAGCCCGUGUUUACAUUCUUGCCAGCAUGUCUGAUGUAUUGGCAAAGAAACAUGAAUCCUUAGCCACGGCUAAAGAGAUUAUGGAUUCAUUAAGGGGAAUGUUUGGGCAACCAGAAUGGUCCUUAAGACACGAGGCAGUCAAAUACAUUUACACUAAGCGUAUGAAGGAAGGGACCUCUGUUAGAGAACAUGUUCUGGACAUGAUGAUGCACUUCAACAUCGCUGAAGUGAAUGGUGGUCCCAUCGAAGAGGUUAAUCAAGUUAGUUUUAUCUUAGAAUCUCUUCCGAAGAGCUUCAUUCCAUUCCAAACGAAUGCGUCUUUGAACAAGAUAGAAUUUAACUUGACAACCCUUCUGAAUGAACUCCAGCGAUUCCAAAACCUAACUAUGGGUAAAGGAAAACAAGUGGAAGCAAAUGUUGCUACCACAAAAAGAAAAUUUAUAAGAGGAUCGUCCUCUAAAACCAAAGCUGGACCCUCAAAACCUAAUGCUCAAAUAAAAAAGAAGGGAAAGGGAAAGACUCCCAAACAGAACAAGGGUAAGAAAGGUGCAGAAAAAGGUAAGUGUUACCAUUGUGGCCAAAACGGGCACUGGUUAAGAAACUGCCCAAAAUACCUUGCAGAAAAAAAGGCAGAGAAGGAAACACAAGGUAAAUAUGAUUUACUAGUUGUAGAAACAUGUUUAGUGGAAUAUGAAAAUUCUACCUGGAUACUAGAUUCAGGAGCCACUAACCAUAUUUGCUUCUCAUUUCAGGAAAAUAGUUCUUGGAAAAAGCUUUCAGAAGGUGAGAUCACUCUCAAGGUUGGAACAGGAGAGAUGGUCUCAGCUUCAGCAGUGGGAGUUUUAAAGUUGUUUUUUAGAGAUAGAUAUGUCAUACUUAAGAAUGUCUUAUAUGUACCUCAAAUGAAAAGAAAUUUAAUAUCUAUCUCUUGUAUUUUGGAACAAAUGUAUAGAAUAUCUUUUGAAAUUAAUGAAGCGUUCGUUUUCUAUAAAGGUAUUCUAGUUUGUUCUGCUAUACUUGAAGACAACUUAUAUAAGUUAAGACCAACUAGAGCAAAUUUUGUCUUAAAUACUGAAAUAUUCAGAACAGCUGAAAACUCAGAAUAAAAGACAAAAAGUUUCUUCUAAUGCCUAUUUAUGGCACUUAAGACUUGGUCACAUAAAUCUCAAUAGGAUUGGGAGAUUGGUUAAAAGUGGGCUUCUAAGUCCGUUAGAAGAUAACUCUUUACCUCCUUGUGAAUCUUGUCUUGAAGGAAAAAUGACCAAGAGAUCUUUUUACUGGAAAAGGUCUAAGAGCCAAAGGACCCUUAGAGCUCGUACAUUCGGACCUUUGUGGACCAAUGAAUGUCAAAACUCGAGGUGGAUAUGAAUUUUUCAUUAGCUUCAUUGAUGAUUAUUCAAGGUAUGGUCAUAUUUACCUAAUACAUCAUAAGUCUAAUAGUCUUGAAAAGUUCAAAGAAUAUAAGGCUGAAGUAGAAAACGAAUUAGGUAAAACAAUAAAAAUACUUCGAUCAGAUCGAGGUGGAGAGUAUAUGGACUUACGAUUCCGAGACUAUUUAAUAGAAAAUGGAAUCCAGUCACAACUCUCUGCACCUAGUACACCUCAACAGAACGGUGUAUCAGAAAGAAGAAACUGGACCUUGUUAGACAUGGUUCGCUCUAUGAUGAGUUUUUCUCAGAUGUCAGAUUCUUUUUGGGGAUAUGCUUUAGAAACAGCUGCUUAUAUUUUGAAUAAUGUUCCCUCUAAAAGUGUUUCAGAAACACCUUAUGAGCUAUGGAAAGGGCGUAAAUGCAGUUUACGUCAUUUUAAAAUUUGGGGUUGUCCAGCACAUGUGUUGGUACAAAAUCCAAAGAAAUUGGAACAUCGUUCAAAAUUAUGCUUUUUUAUAGGUUAUCCAAAAGAAUCAAGAGGUGGUUUGUUUUAUGAUCCUCAAGAAAAUAAAAUACCACAUCAGGGAUCAUCAACCUCGUAGUAAACUAGUAUUUAAAGAAAUUUCCAAAAGUGCUAUAGAUAAAACCUAGUUCAUCCACUAAAGUAGUUGAUAAGACUAGGAAAUCUGGUCAAUCACAUCCUUCUCAACAGUUGAGAGAGCCUCGACGUAGUGGGAGGGUUGUUCAUCAGCCUGAUCGCUAUUUGGGUUUAAUUGAAACUCAAGUCGUCAUACCUGACGAUGGCAUAGAGGAUCCAUUAACCUAUAAACAGGCAAUGAAAGAUGUAGAUCGUGACCAAUGGAUCAAAGCCAUGGACCUCGAAAUGGAGUCUAUGUACUUUAAUUCUUUCUAGACUCUAGUAGAUCAACCAAAUGACGUAAAACCUAUUGGUUGUAAAUGGAUCUACAAGAGAAAACGAGACCAUGCCGGUAAAGUACAGACUUUUAAGGCUCGACUUGUGGCAAAGGGUUAUACCUAGAGAGAGGGAGUAGACUAGAGGAAACUUUCUCUCCCGUUGCCAUGUUAAAGUCAAUUAGAAUACUCUUAUCCAUCGCCACUUUUUAUGAUUAUGAAAUUUGGCAGAUGGAUGUCAAGACAGCUUUUUUGAACGGUAAUCUUGAAAAGAGUAUCUAUAUGUCUCAACCAGAGGGGUUUAUAAAACAAGAUCAAGAACAAAAGGUUUGUAAGCUUAAAAAAUCCAUUUAUGGAUUAAAACAAGCUUCUAGAUCCUGGAAUAUAAGAUUUGAUAUUGCGAUCAAAAUCUUAUGGCUUUGAACAAAAUGUUGACGAGCCUUGUGUUUACAAAAGGUCGUCAAUUCCAUUAUAGCAUUUUUUAGUCUUAUAUGUAGAUGAUAUUCUACUUAUUGGAAAUGACGUAGGAUAUCUUACUGAUAUCAAGAAAUGGCUAGCUAUGCAAUUUCAAAUGAAAGAUCUGGGAGAUGCACAAUACGUUCUCGGAAUCAAAUUGUUCGAAACCGUAAGAACAAAACACUAGCCAUGUCUCAAGCAUCUUACAUAGACAAAAUGUUGUCUAGAUAUAAAAUGCAGAAUUCCAAAAAGGGUCUGCUGCCGUACAGAUAUGGAAUUCAUUUGUCAAAGGAACAAUGUCCUAAGACACCUCAAAAAGUUGAGGAUAUGAGAAAUAUUCCCUAUGCUUCCACUGUUGGAAGUUUAAUGUAUGCAAUGUUAUGUACUAGACCUGACAUUUGCUACUCAGUAGGGAUGGUCAGUAGGAAUCAAUCCAAUCAUGGACGUGAUCACUAGACAGCCGUUAAAAACAUUCUACAUGCUCAUGUAUCGUACAAAGGAUAUGAUCCUUACUGGAUACACUGAUUCGGAUUUCCAAACUAAUAAAGAUGUUAGAAAGUCUACAUCAGAAUCAGUAUUUACUCUAAAUGGAGGAGCAGUAGUUUGGAGAAGCAUAAAGCAAACUUGUAUAGCUGAUUCCACAAUGGAAGCUGAUCAUUUUACAAAAGCCCUCACGGCUAAAGUGUUUGAGGGUCACCUACACAGUUUAGGUGUACGAUGUUUGUAAACUAGGACAAGUGGGAGACUUAUUGGCCAUGUGCCCUAGUUUCAUAUAUAUUCUCUCACACCACAUCUCUCAUACCACUAGGAAUUUUAGUCCAAGUGGGAGUUUGUUGGAAUUUUUUGUCCUAAAACUCGUAGUUUGUAAAUCAUAUUCUAUUCAAUAAAGUUGUUAUUGAGAAAUUAAAUAUUAUAAUCUUAAAUCCAAUAAAUCAAAGUUCCAAGGCUAUUUUUUGAAUAAACUUGAACUUUAUGUGUAAACAUAAACGUGGAUCAAGUUCGAGUAUAUAGCCUAAAUAGUCUAUAGUAUAUGAAAUAAAGGUUGGGCGCCUUAUUUUGAGAGACUAUGGAUGCGGCCCACUUUGUAGUACAAACGAUGUGAUCCUAAUCGUUCAUGUAGAGACAUGAAAGUGGGGGCAUCCUAUGUAAAAUGUUUACAUAAGACUGAACCAUGAAUUAGUCAUUUUUACGUUAUAACACCGUUUACUGUUUAAAACUGACUAUCUCAAUUAUUGAUGACCUAGGUAACUUAGUCUUAAUCCUGAGUUAACUAUGAACUCCUGUUCAUACGAGAUUAUCCUUAGAUCUGCAUAGGUGAGGGCAACUCAUCAGCGUUGGCCCAAUAAGCCUCCCAUUUCAGGGGUAAGAUCGGGUGGAUAGCUGGGAACAUAGGGUACAAGAUGGAAUUCACUCCUACCCGCUUUAGGGUUAGUAGAUAGGUUGCUCUCUUAAGCACUGAAUCCAAGUCUUGAACAAGGGGCCCCACCCUCUCAUUGGCCCGAGAGGGAUUAAGUUUAUAGGUUGAACCUUAAACCAAUUGUUCAAUAGUGGAUUAGUGGGACUUAAGGAGCAAGAUGUAAUCUUGGGGGUAAAACGGUAUUUUGACCCAGCCAAGGUUACGAGCAACCUGUGAAGGAUUAACUUACUGAUUAUGGUUUUAUCAAAUGGACACAAAUAUAUCUAUAGUGAGGGGAGUGCAACUACGGGACUUUAGUGGAAUGACCCGUUAGUUAACGAAUGUUGAUUAACUCGGUUUAAAAGAGUUUAGCUAGUUAAUCUUGAAUCGUUGGAGCCCAUGAUCUAUAGGUCCAUUAGGUUCCUCUGCUAGCUCAUAUGGAUUAAACUUAGAACAGUGUGAUGAAAUAAGUCGAAUUGUUCGAAUAGGGAGAAGAAAGGAAAACCGACAUAUACAGUGAUAUAAUCGUCGGUCUUCUAAUUAGAAAUAGAGCUUUAUGUUUUACAUACUAUAAGUAUGAAUGCGGAUUCAUACUAAGAAGCUCGGAAUUGGUCAAAAAUAGUAAAAAGUCAAAAUGUUGACUUUUGACUUUGAAAAGUCAAACUUUGACCGGCCUUAUAUUCAAAUGUGAUUUGAAUUUUGGAAAAAAUGAAUGCGGAUUCAUGCUCGGGAGGUUGGAAUUAGUCAAAACGGACAAAAUGGUAAAAAGUCAAAAUAUUGACUUUUGACUUAGAAAAGUCAAAGUUUGACUUUUGACUAGAAAAAUCUAAUGACCAUUUUACCCUUGGACUAAGUUAGUGGGAAAAUCCAACAUUUUGUUGGAUAAUCCCACUAACUCUUAGUGGGAUAUGUGGCUAUAUGAGAUAUAGACACCUAGCCCACUAAGUUCCACUAAUUGUUAGUGGAAUAUUAGGUGUUGAGAUUUGGCAAUUGAAUUGCAUGCAUUUUUGCAUGUAAUUAGGCUAUAAAUAGAGAUGUUUUCAAAUGUUGAAGGACUUUUGCCUCUUUUAUCAUUUUUCAUAAUCUCAACAAAAGAAAAAAGAAAGCUUCCAAUCUCAUUUUAUCUCCAUUACUUUCUACACCAAAAUUGGGUCCCACAACCCGGUUCUUUGUCUAGAGGAUAGCAGUUGAGUACUAGUGGUGGUCUCGGGUAGAAUUGGUAAGAAGACAUCAAACCUUUUAAAAGCUUCAAAGGU